AUAAUUUAUAAACAAGGUAUAUAUAUAGUGUCUUAGUAGAUGUGUAAUAU
rnacentral:guide_RNA from 1 species